AUUGAACGCUGGCGGCAUGCCUAACACAUGCAAGUCGAACGAGUGGCGGACGGGUGAGUAAUGUCUGGGAAACUGCCCGAUGGCUGGGGAUCACUACUGGAAACGGUAGCUAAUACCGCAUACCAUGGGAUGUGCCCAGAUGGGAUUAGCUAGUCGGGGGGGUAACGGCUCACCUAGGCCACGAUCCCUAGCUGGUCUGAGAGGUUGAACAGCCACACUGGAACUGAGACACGGUCCAGACUCCUACGGGAGGCAGCAGUGGGGAAUAUUGGACAAUGGACGAAAGCCUGAUGCAGCCAUGCCGCGUGUAUGAAGAAGGCCUUCGGGUUGUAAAGUACUGUCAGCGAGGAGGCGUUACCCACAGAAGAAGCACCGGCUAACUACGUGCCAGCAGCCGCGGUAAUAC
rnacentral:rRNA from 1 species